GCCAGACUGCCCACCACCGGCUCUGAGCUCAUCGGCUCUGCGGUCAAUCACUUCCCUCUGGAGCUGGGCAAGGCACUGGGGAAACGUGGGCCUGAGCAGGACUUUGCAGCCAAGGCCACUGGACUAGCUUGAGAGUCCUGGGCAGCAUCCAGGCACGGGCUCCAGGCCUUCUGCCCCAGCUCGAGGUGCCAUAGCAGGUGCCUCUCAUGGGAUUGGGGCAAGUGGCACAGUCUUGAGGCUCCCCCAGUCAGACCCUUCCCCCUUCUCCCCAGGCCAUGGUGGGCAGGUGGCCACUUCCGUUGCUGCCUGUGUCUGAGGACAUUGGCCCAGGGUUGGCAAGAAGAGGAAGGUGUUGCAUCAACAUGCAGCACAUUCACCUGACAAGGAGCUGGCCGCAGCCUCCGCUGCCAAACGGUGACGGUGCUGGCUGGUGCCCCCAGGAGCUGUUCACCACCUCCCGGGCUAAUGGCGCUUGCUGCCUGGCACACAGCAGGUGACUACACUGCAUGGCUUAUAAAUGUGGCCUCUGCCAGGAAAUCCUGGGAAAGAGCCAGGGAGGUGACGUUUUAUCCACGAGCCUGCUAUGGCUUAGCCUAGCCCUCCCCUAACUGUGACCAAGCUCUGGAUGAGACACAGACAACUACUGAGGACCUGCAAAGUAAGGAGACUGCAGGGCGGAGGCGGAACUUGGAGGAGUGACCUGCCGUGGAGUUUCUGGUUUCCUCCUUGUGGCUUUGUCUGGAGGGCAAGCCCCACUCUCAGAUCCACAUGGCAACACAAGCAGCUAAAACGCAGAUAGAAACCCCAACCUGGGAAAAGGAGUCCUACAGCAACUUUUCAGAAGCUUCAGAAGAAGGACGCCGGAGAAUGCCCGCCCGGGACUCCGAGGUGCCCUGUGCUCAUGGAUUGGUCCUCCUGGCUCCAUGAGUGUGAGUGAGUGUCUGCAGGUCCCUGGCACAAAAGCUGCAGUGCUGAGCAGGUGGCUAAUGGCCCUGGCUGGGUGAUUUUGGACAAGUCACCUUUGCCUCUCUGGCCUCCAUUGUCCCUCUGUCAAACAGGCCCCACGACAGCAAGCGUUGGUUAUUGUGUCUAUGGUCAACAUCCCACCUGCCUUUCUGGGCAGAGACGUUUGGGAGCAGUGGCUGUAUCCCUGAGCACGUCGUAAGGGCACUUUCCUGCAUGCCCUGGCUGGAGGGACCUGUUGCUGGGAAAACUCCCCAGAGUGUGAACCGGCGGCGGCUCCACCAUCUGGGUGCCGUGGGCAUGGUGCAUGGCGGGAAGGAGGCCGGCACCACAGAAGGGUGGCAGCUGUCCCCGGAAGGCUCUCCCCUGAGGGCGCCCAGGGCUCCACCGCUAGCCAGCCAUCUCCUUGCAGUAAGGCACGUUUCCUCCAGAUCCUCUCGGAACUGCCGGGAGUGGCUGCCCCACCCGCCCAGCUCUCCCUGGGUCCUGCCAGGCAGGGAAGCGUGAACCGAGACGGGCUCGGGAUGGCUCUCAGGCCCUCCCUGCUCUCAGCACCAAGGGAGGCACCCAGAGACUGAUCUGUGGGGGCAACGGAGACUCCGGGUCCCCCCACCAGGAUACGUCCCCUUUCUUUGCAUCUGAUGCUGACACACACAUACGAGGAGCCCAGAGGCAGAAACGGGACUCAGAGCCUGACGCUGAGGCUGGUGUGUGGGGCUGCCUCUCCCAGUGCUGAGGCUGGCGUGUGGGGGCUUCCUCUCCCGACACUGAGGCUGGCGUGUGGGGCUGCUUCUCCCGACGCUGAGGCUGGCGUGUGGGGCUUCCUCUCCCGACGCUGAGGCUGGCGUGUGGGGCUUCCUCUCCCGACGCUGAGGCUGGUGUGUGGGGCGGCCUCUCCUGGUGCUGAGGCUGGCAUGUGGGGCGGUCUCUCCCGACCUUGAGGCUGGCAUGUGGGGCUUCCUCUCCCGACGCUGAGGCUGGCGUGUGGGGCUUCCUCUCCCAACCUUGAGGCUGGCAUGUGGGGCUUCCUCUCCCGACGCUGAGGCUGGCAUGUGGGGCGCCCUCUCCCGACCUUGAGGCUGGCAUGUGGGGCUUCCUCUCCCGACGCUGAGGCUGGCGUGUGGGGCGGCCUCUCGGGAGCAGGCGGCCUCGGGGAUCCUGGGGGUCAGCAGCCCCUCCACAGCUGCACCUCCCGGGACUGACCCUGCAGAACCCACCUCCCGCCAGCCCCUCCACAGCAGGACAGCACCCGCCUCCUUUUCCAAGGCCGCCUCGCCCAGUGGAGGCUGCAGCUCUACUGGGUGUGAGUCAGGAGGAAACGCUCGCAGCCAACACAGGCAGGACACGCCCACGUGACAUCGGAUCCCACGGGGAGGAGUCCACUGGGCAAAUCUGAACAAUGUGGGGGAAGAUAUUGAUGAGAUGUUAAACAUAACCCAUAGAAGAAGAAUCUACAAGUCCGUACUGACGUAAAUAAAUAAACAGGCAUUGGGGAGAGACAGCUUUUCCUUACCAUAGAAUUCCAACUCAGCCGCAGAAUCCUGGUGGGAACCGUCAUCAAAGUCAACGGGAGCAGACACCACCAAACCCCAGAUCAAAGUCAGCAUCGCCAGCAACGGGCACACGGACACCAGGAAACUCCAUCAGCAUUGCUUUUGCUGUAUUCUUGACAAAAUUGUACAGUUUAAUUUUUUUUCUUUUUUCUUUCCUUUUUUUUUUUAGAGAUGGGGUCUCACUGUGUUGCCCAGGCUAGAGUACAGUGGUGUGAUCACAGCUCACUACAGCCUUCCGUGGCUGGGACUACAGGCACACACCACCACAUCUGGCUUGUUUUUUUGUUGUUGUUCUUGUUUUACUGUUUACUUUGUAGAGAUGGGGUGUAGCUAUAUUACCCAGUCUUGACUUCUGGCCUCAAGUGAUCCUCCCACCUUGGCCUCCCAAAGUGUUGGGAUUACAGAUGUGAGCCACUGUGCCCAGCUGUAUAAGUGGAAUUUAAUUAUGAGGAAAUCUACAGUGAAUCCAAAUUAAGGGAUAGUCCACAAAAUAACUGACAAUAUUCUUUAGAAGUGUCAAUGUCAUGAAAAAACAAAGACUGAGGAUUCGUCCCAGAUUGAGAGACUAAGGGGCCACGAGGACUAAACACAACAUGGGACCCUGGACUAGGAAAGGGUGGUGAGUGGGACGGUCAGCAGGGGUGAGCGGGACGGUCAGCAGGGGUGAGUGGGAUGGUCAGCAGGGCGUGCAUGAGGGGUUUGCUGGGUGAUCCUGUUGUAUCAGUGGCCAUUCUCUGAUCAUUGUACAAUUGAUCACUAUCCUCAAAGCUAACUUUUUUUUUUUUUGAGACGGAGUUUCACUCUGCCACCCAGGCUGGAGUGCAGUGGCGCCAUCUCAGCUCACUGCAGCCUCCGCCUCUUAGGUUCAAGUGAUUCUCCUGUCUCAGCCUCCCAAGUAGCUGGGACUACAGGCACCUGCCACCACACUUGGGGAAAUUUUUGUGUUUUUAAUAGAAACGGGGUUUCACCAUGUCGACCAGCCUGAUCUCAAACUCCCGACCUCAGCUGAUCCACCCACCUCGGUCUCCCAAAGUGCUGUGAUGAGUGCCCGUGAGCCACCGCGCCCAGCCUCAAAGCUAACUUUUGGGGACGUUGGAUGAAGAGUCCACAGGAACUUUUCUACUGUUUUUGCAACUUGUUAAAACCCUGUAAUUACUUCAAAAUGAAAAGUUAAAAAAUGAUCUUUUAAAAAAGAGUUAAUACUUGCAGUAUAUAAAGGACUCUUGAAAAUCAAUGAGAAGAUGAAUGUCCUGUGGAGAGCACAUGGGCCGCGAUGCUCCGGGAAAGAAUGGCACAGAGCACAAGAGAAACAGCUCACGGGCACCACUGAUUAGAGAAAUGCC
rnacentral:lncRNA from 1 species